CAACAACUCAAUGCUAUUGUUAUUUCAAUAACUCGGUUUUCUUACCAGGUGAUCUGAUAUACAAUGUAUCAGAUGGAUCUGGUUGCUAUUUUUAUGCAAUUUGUGGUAAUAACUGUUUGACAGAGAGGUAUGCAGAGCCUUGCCCUACCCCUGUAACACCAACAUCUACCCCUCAGCCUACAACUCCACCUCCAUCUUCAUUCUCUUCAUCUGCAUCUACAUUUAGUACAUUAUCCCCAACUACUAAGCUUGAAGAUUGUGGUACAAGAAAGAUAAAUGAAACUUGGAUAAAUGAAGACUGCACAAAGUCCAUAUGCUAUGGAAACAAUAAUAUCACAACUGAACCUCUUAUAUGUCCACCAGUGGAUCCCAAGCCUUGUUCUAAUGGCCUGGCACCAGUUCGCAUCAGUACUGAA